rnacentral:rRNA from 1 species
GAGUUUGAUCAUGGCUCAGAACGAACGCUGGCGGUGCGUUUUAAGCACGCAAGUCGAACGGUAAAAAGAGAGCUUGCUCUCUUUGAGAGUGGCGGACUGGUGAGUAACGCGUGGAUGAUCUACCUUUGAGAUGGGGAUAGCUUCUAGAAAUAGGAGAUAAUACCGAAUAACCUUGUUGUGUUUUGAUGUAACAAGAAAAGGAGCGUCAGCUCCGCUCGAAGAUGAGUCUGCGUCCCAUUAGCUAGUUGGUAGGGUAAAGGCUUACCAAGGCGACGAUGGGUAUCCGGCCUGAGAGGGUGAACGGACACAUUGGGACUGAGAUACGGCCCAAACUCCUACGGGAGGCAGCAGCUGAGAAUCUUCCGCAAUGGACGAAAGUCUGACGGAGCGACACCGCGUGAACGAUGAAGGCCGGAAGGUUGUAAAGUUCUUUUGCAGACAAAGAAUAAGGAUAGAAGGAAAUGACUAUCUGAUGACG